rnacentral:rRNA from 1 species
AACGAACGCUGGCGGCAGGCUUAACACAUGCAAAUCGAACGCACCGCAAGGUGAGUGGCAGACGGGUGAGUAACACGUGGGGAUCUGCCCAAUGGUACGGAAUAGCUCCGGGAAACUGGAAUUAAUACCGUAUGAGCCCGCAAGGGGAAAGAUUUAUCGCCAUUGGAUGAACCCGCGUCGGAUUAGCUAGUUGGUGUGGUAAAGGCGCACCAAGGCGACGAUCCGUAGCUGGUCUGAGAGGAUGAUCAGCCACACUGGGACUGAGACACGGCCCAGACUCCUACGGGAGGCAGCAGUGGGGAAUAUUGGACAAUGGGCGCAGGCCUGAUCCAGCCAUGCCGCGUGAGUGAUGGAGGCCUUAGGGUUGUAAAGCUCUUUCGCCGACGAAGAUAAUGACGGUAGUCGGAGAAGAAGCCCCGGCUAACUUCGUGCCAGCCGCCGCAGUAAUAC